rnacentral:lncRNA from 1 species
UUGCAUUGGUCACUGAUGUUGAAUGUUUGUUCUGUUGUUGUAGGGCUGGGAGGAGGACCUGCUGCCUGAGGAGAGGGAGGUUCCUCUGCUAAACCUCUACCUUACCACCAAGAGAGUGGAGGACAUCGCCUUGAGGCUCGUCUCCCUGCGCCAGGCCUUCACUACCCUGCUUGGUUCCACCCUGAGCAGGAACCAUCUGUUUGUGGCAGGAAAGGUCCUAUUGGGCGCACUGGUUCAAGCCCACCACAUGGUAGCUCACUAACUCAUUAUUCAUUCA